rnacentral:rRNA from 1 species
AUACGAAGGGGGCAAGCGUUGUUCGGAAUAACUGGGCGUAAAGCGCACGUAGGCGGAAUGUUAAGUUAGAGGUGAAAUCCCAGGGCUCAACCCUGGAUCGGCCUUUAAUACUGGCAAUCUAGAGACCGAGAGAGGUGAGUGGAAUUCCGAGUGUAGAGGUGAAAUUCGUAGAUAUUCGGAGGAACACCAGUGGCGAAGGCGGCUCACUGGCUCGGUACUGACGCUGAGGUGCGAAAGCGUGGGGAGCAAACAGGAUUAGAUACCCUAGUAGUCC